rnacentral:rRNA from 1 species
GUUAGGAAUAUUGGACAAUGGGCGCAAGCCUGAUCCAGCCAUGCCGCGUGUGUGAUGAAGGCCUUCGGGUUGUAAAGCUCUUUAGCCGAUGAUUAUAAUGACUGUAGUCGGAAAAUAAGCCCCGGCUAACUUCGUGCCAGCAGCCGCGGUAAUACGAAGGGGGCGCGCGUUAUUCGGAAUCACUGGGCGUAAAGCGUGCGUAGGCGGCUUUGCAAGUUGGGAGUGAAAGCCCAGGGCUCAACCCUGGAAUUGCUCUCAAAACUGCAAGGCUCGAAUUCGGGAGAGGAUAGCGGAAUUGUCAGUGUAGCAGUGAAAUGCGUAGAUAUUGACAGGAACACCAGUGGCGUAAGCGGCUAUCUGGACCGAUAUUGACGCUGAGGCACGAAAGCGUGGGGAUCAAACAGGAUUAGAAACCCCGGUAGUCC